ACAGUGACGCACGGCGUCCAAAUCGCGUUGCCCUGACACCAUCCGAUUGCUACACCUCCCCGAUCGCCGCCGCAGCCUCCUGAUCGCUUCGUCUCCGUAGCGACGGCUCGGCGUCGGCGCUGCCGCCACCAUGGGAAGAGGGAGGAAGCUACUCCUCAUCCUCGUCUCUCUCGUCUACUACGGAAUCCCAUCGUUUCUUACGGUGGAACACUGCGCCGCCGCCGUCGUCCCCGCUACCUCGGACUCGGAUGCCAAGACGGGCGACGACUUAGUCGUGGCGUCAAGAUCCACCUCAAAGGACAGAGGUGAUUUGCCUUGCGAUUUCUUCCGUUCCAAAAUCGCCUCUUGAUUUCCCCCCUUUUGAUGUUUCGACGUAGAUCUACAUUGCUACCACUGCGCUGCCGCGGGACCACAAGGGGAAGGAACCGGAUGUCGUUACGGCGCAAAGGCCGAAGCGUCGCCGCAAGAGAGGGAAGAAACACAGAGUCAAGUCUGCGACGGGAAUCCCUUCUACAACCCAUGAAGAGGCUGGAACAUCCUCUACGAAAUGGUCUGAUUGUGUUACGAAGAACACUGAUGAAACAAUUGCUGGUCGAUUCUACAAAUUUCUUGAAGAGUUCAUUGAGACUGGAGAGCUCAAGCGUUUUUAUGAAGAGCAAAUAAAAAGCAUGAAGGAAAGAAAUGCAUUCGUGAUGGAUAUAUUCUACAGGCAUUUGGAAAAAAACAAAUCUCAGACUAGCUAUGACAUUGUGUAACAAUUACCGCAGGCUUGAGUCUCGUUUGAAAGAUGUGGUUGGGAAGUUUAUUAAGGUGAUUGUACCUUGUGUACAUGAUUCUUUAUGCCAGCCUUUAAUGUUGAUGUUUCAUGAAAUGCCAAGAAGGUAUUCAGUUGUUACUAUAGAUUGGAUCACCAGGCAUAAUCCUUUUUCUAUAAUAUGAUGUAAUCAAUAAUUAGUCCUGAAUAAUUCAUGUUACACAGGCACCAAAGAUUGAUUGAUAUACUGAAUGACAAUAUAUUCAUAGAGCCUGAAGAAGUAUAUGGCUGUAAUGAUCAAGUUUUUAAGCUAACGAAAGUUGGUUCUCAAUUGUGGAGGGCUGGAUUUGCUUAUAUUCUCCGUGCUCAUUUGGCUGGCAAGAGCUGGUUUGGAAAGUUUAAUCUUAAUGAUACCGAGGUGAAGAAUGGUGAUGGAUUUGUCAUUAGAAUCAAACCUUUGGAGCAUACACCCGAAGGGGGCAUUGCUGGACCUUCAGCACUUCUUCAGGCAGAUGAUCCCUCAUUUCAGCAAGAAAGGAGUUAUGCCACCUUACUUUGAGCAACUAAAAAAAUUCCUACUAGUAACCAUCUCCAACUCCAAGAAUGUGCUGGAAAAACCUUCAACCAUGAAACGGUUUCGGAAGUACCUUUUAAAUCAUUUGGCAUUUGCUGCACCUUUGAGACGUGCGCAUCUGAUUGGUGACAUUCAUAGGUGUUGCAAGAUGAUGGAUGAUGAUGAUGAGUUGAUGACAAACAUAGGGAUAUGCCAUUUAAGAAUUUGUUGCGCAGAUUCUCAAAUAGUAAUUGGCAGAAAGUUGUCACAAGAGAUGUUGAGCUGAACAAAGUCUACACUUUCAAGCCUAAACACCUUAGAGUGCAACAUUCAACACAACAAUCCAGCAGUUCUAGUAAGCAGAACUCAAAGCAAAAAGUUAGCACCUAUAAUGUACAGAAUGCUUCAGAAAAAUUGUUGUUCAAUGAGGUAGUAUUUGAUGACACACUCGAAUAAAUGGCAAUGUUCUUGAGACACUAUUUUGAGCACGCUCUUGAUAAUUCCAAGAAGAAGCCUCCCAGGCCUGCUAAGUUACUGAACUGCAACGGGGAGGAUUGCUCAACCACAGGUGAUGAGAUAAAGGGAGUUCAGCAAGCCAAAAAACUUGAUGAGUAUGAGCUGCUAACUACGAUCCGCCUCGGAACUGAAAUAGCAGAAAUGAUUUGGUAUUUAAUGUUGUAUACUGGUUUCGAAGGAAUUUUAGAGAGUGUAUGGGAAACGUACAUGUGCAUGAAUGAUGUGGAUGAUUUUGAUCUAUAAACGCAGGCGACCACCCACUGCAAUUUCCUGAGG